UGUGGAACCUUCGUGACCGUACACACUCUGAGGGGACGUCCUACCGUGUUGCACUGAAACCGGAAGUUGUUGGUACAUUGCUGCAAAAACGGUCCUAGCUAAACUGAAUGAAUGGAUGUUGUGAUGCACUGAGGUGCCUUUGCUCACGCCUGUCCAAGAUGACAUGAACCUUUAAGCUCGUGAUUCAACUCCACCGCUUCUGUGUUCCUGUAUUCUUCGAUUUCCCGCCUCUGCUGGUCAGGGUACCAUGGCGUCCAGGAUGAAGCUGAAGCUGAAGACUGUGUUCGUGCUCUACUUCAUGGUCUCCCUCCUCGGCCUCGUCUAUGCGCUGAUGCAGCUUGGUCAACGCUGUGACUGCACAGAGCACGACAUGCCUAAAGACCGUACCAUAUCUCGGCUGCGAGGCGAAAUGCACCGUCUUCAGGAGCAGAUGAGGAAGUCCGAGGUGACCAAACAACCCCAGAAACAGGCGGCCAAACCUUCCCAGCCCACCAUCUUUGUCAUCACCCCGACAUAUGCAAGGCUGGUGCAGAAGGCCGAGCUGACUCGUCUGUCGCAGACGUUCCUUCAUGUUCCUCAGCUCCACUGGAUCGUGGUUGAGGACUCGCCACACAAGACGCCCCUGGUGACUGACCUUCUGGUGAAGAGUGGGCUGACCUACACUCACCUGCACAUGCCCACCGCCAAGGACCGCAAACUGCAGGAGGGUGACCCUAGCUGGCUGAAGCCUCGCGGAGUGGAGCAGAGGAAUGAGGGUCUACGGUGGCUCAGAGAGGACAGAAGGGCUCAGCCUGGAGGAGACAACCAGCAGGGGGUUGUUUACUUUGCUGAUGAUGAUAACACAUACAGCCUGCAGAUAUUUGAAGAGAUGAGGAGCACCCAGCGAGUGUCAGUGUGGCCGGUGGGGCUGGUUGGAGGGAUGAAAUAUGAGAGGCCUGUGGUUGAAGGAGGAAAGGUGUGUGCUGUUUAUGCUCAUGAAAACAUGAAGAAAAACAUGAAUUCACUGACUGAAUUACACACAGCAGAAGGAAAGGUUGUUUGUGUGACUCCAGGAAAAGUUGUGUUUUUGAUGCUUCCUGUAAGGUGGUUCGCUUCCACACCGGCUGGCGUCCAAGCCGGCCCUUCCCGAUGGACAUGGCCGGCUUCGCCGUGUCCCUCAAACUGAUCCUGGCCAAUCCAGAGGCUUGUUUUGAUGGAGAAGCACCAAUGGGCUUCCUGGAGAGCAGCUUCCUUCAGGGAUUGGUUACUAUGGAUGAGCUGGAGCCCAAAGCAGACGACUGCUCUAAAGUGCUGGUGUGGCACACACGGACAGAGAAACCCAAGAUGAAGAGGGAGGAGGCUCUGCAGGCUCAGGGACUGGGCUCAGACCCUGCUGUGGAGGUCUGAGGAACACACACACACACACACAUUGAAAAGCGUACUCUGCUGUUUAAUGCUGCAUAUGUAACUCUGAGUUGUAAAUACUGUAAAACAGAAGACUGUCUGUUAGAGGUGACAUUUAAACUGCAUCGGUUCUGACCGUCUGUUGUUUCCUGUCAGGUAGUAAACGUAUGUGUGUGUGUGUAUAUAUUGGGUGCGUGUUGUUUAGCUGUGCUGACUGUAUGUUAGUGUAUGUAUCAGGGUUUUAUUUGGUUUCAGUGGGUUUAGUUGUCUUUGUCCAGCUGUACAGUGGAGGUGAACCCAGCCACCUGAUGGGGGCGCCAGUUUUUUUAUUUUUUGCAGAGCUGCGUGUUCCACCACAAUACACAUUAGCUUGAAGCUGGGGAAGUGUCCUGAUGUGUUUUUAUUUGUAGGGUUUCACAUGUUUAACUUGUGCUCAGUCGAAAUCCUGCAGUGUUGUUCACUCCUGACAGCAGUUAGAUAUUUAAAGCUACACCAGCUGGUUGGAGCUGAUCUGUAACCAGUUCCUUGACAGAGAUACAUUUGCAACAGAGCACUUUAUUCAUGCAUGGCUUCUAUUUUUGCGUGGUUAGUGUCUAUAAGUCUGUGUUUAAGCCAUAUAAAUGUUUUAAUUUCAAUCAUCAUCAUAGGCAUGAUAGCAGUCUCUGUACUACCUGCGAAUCAAAAUGUUUGUGUUUGCUAUGAAGGAAACAGUAAUGUGAAGCAGAAGUAGUUCCAAGGUCCAUUUUUUGACGCUACACAAAAGUCAGAACACAAACAAAACACACAACACUCACCAACUAAUCAAGAAUCUGCUGAGUAGUUGGUGCCUUGUAUUUAUUCUCCUGUCAUUCUGCUGUGUUACAGAACACUUAGCACCACAGACGUAACAUACAGACGCCCCGUGUAGCUUCAGUGUUACAGCUCAGCGCGCUGGUUUCUGAUAGUGUUAGAGCACAACAGCUCCUUUUAGCCAGCAUUUCUCUCGUAUAUUUUAGUAAUGCUUUUUAAAAACACAAGACUUGUGAAAUCAGUUUAGAAGUCUUAAUAAAGGGAACAACACUACUGUUAUACAUUUCUUAUGCAAUAAACAAAUACAAAGCGUGACAUCCAUGUUACAUUUCCACUCUCUGAUGAUGACAAGAAAAAGACUUGAAUUUGCCUCUAACAGGCUGGAAAUCCCUGGUUCUUUAUGGUAGCUGUGUUCUGAGAGUAUAUUUGGACUCUUCAUGCUGUGCUGUGCUCCACGACACCACCAGUGUCUGGAAGAAUAAAGAGCAGAACAAGAAAGCUCAGGCACGCUACUGUUUGUAUGAUACUGUAAAAACAAGCUAGUGCCUGCUUAUGUGUAACUAGUGCCUGUAUGUCAUCUCUCUUCUGGUGUAUAACGUAUUUAUUACUGUACUAUUGUUCUUUACAUUGUAUAACGUGAUGUCUGUCCUUGGCCUUGAAAAUAAACCUAAAUAAUGAA